rnacentral:rRNA from 1 species
GACGAACGCUGGCGGCGUGCCUAAUACAUGCAAGUCGAACGCAUUUUCUUUCACCGUAGCUUGCUACACCGAAAGAAAAUGAGUGGCGAACGGGUGAGUAACACGUGGGUAACCUGCCCAUCAGCGGGGGAUAACACUUGGAAACAGGUGCUAAUACCGCAUAAUUCCAUUUACUGCAUGGUAGAUGGAUGAAAGGCGCUUUUGCGUCACUGAUGGAUGGACCCGCGGUGCAUUAGCUAGUUGGUGGGGUAACGGCCUACCAAGGCUGCGAUGCAUAGCCGACCUGAGAGGGUGAUCGGCCACACUGGGACUGAGACACGGCCCAGACGCCUACGGGAGGCAGCAGUAGGGAAUCUUCGGCAAUGGACGCAAGUCUGACCGAGCAACGCCGCGUGAGUGAAGAAGGUUUUCGGAUCGUAAAACUCUGUUGUUAGAAAAGAACAAGGAUGAGAGUGGAAAGUUCAUCCCUUGACGGUAUCUGACCAGAAAGCCACGGCUAACUACGUG